AGAAUCAACGCUGGCGGCGUGCCUAACACAUGCAAGUCGAACGAGAAAGUGGAGCAAUCCAUGAGUAAAGUGGCGACCGGGUGAGUAACACGUGACUAACCUACCUUCGAGUGGGGGAUAACCUCGGGAAACCGAGGCUAAUACCGCAUAACAUCGCAAGAUCAAAGCAGCAAUGCGCUGGAAGAGGGGGUCGCGGCUGAUUAGCUAGUUGGCGGGGUAACGGCCCACCAAGGCGAAGAUCGGUAGCCGGCCUGAGAGGGCGCACGGCCACACUGGAACUGAAACACGGUCCAGACUCCUACGGGAGGCAGCAGUGGGGAAUUUUGCGCAAUGGGGGAAACCCUGACGCAGCAACGCCGCGUGGAGGAUGAAGCCCCUUGGGGCGUAAACUCCUUUCGACCAAGACGAUAAUGACGGUACUGGUGGAAGAAGCACCGGCUAACUCUGCGCCAGCAGCCGC
rnacentral:rRNA from 1 species